UCUACCAUAAUCCCAUAGUAGGCUGUCAGUGUCAGUAUGGUUUUUGGGGGGCUGCCCCGAUGUACACAAGUGGGAUGAGUAGCCCCUUGGGUGAGUAAUGCUGUCCACUGACAUAUUUUGUCACUGACCACACACAUCAUAACUACAUCUAACUUUCAGUGAGGUGAAAAGUACAACGUCUCAAAAACAGUUCCAUUGUGUCAUGACAUUUACUGCCCAUCUUUGAGGUCUGACCCUAAAUUAUGUGAAACAAUACAGCUGUCUAUACAGCUGAGAUGAAAGGUGAGAAAGGUGUUUUUCAGAAGAAAACAGAUCUUUAUAUAUAUAUAACUCUCUAUAACUCUCUAUAUAUAAAACUCUCUAUAACUCUCUUUUUGGCAUGAAACACCCCCAUUCCACCUACUCCAUGGCUUUAGUGUUAAGUUUCUUGUUCUUCAGAAACGCCAGCAUCACAAAACCUAACCGGCUUCAGAAGAUGCGCUCGAUGGAGGUACAACAGUGGCUCCCAGAGUUGUGGUUUGACUACAGAUGACUUACUUGUGGUGGCAGUUCUACCCCAGCCAGUGGUGAAGCAGCGGGUUCCAGGCAGGAUGCUGAGGGUUGAUGGAGCCAGACAUACAGGAGAGAUACGGGGAGUCAGUGUGACUGGAGACGACAGUUUCAGCAGAGCAAUGUCAUUGUUGAAGGUCGCCCUGCUGUAGAGCGGAUGGGUGAUGACCUGCAGAUACAGAAAAGAGGGAUGAACAGUUAGUACCGAUAGCUGACUUAACGAUUUUGUUUUACCACUGUGCACACUUUUCGACUUUUGUAGUUCUGCAAUCGAUCUAAAAACCGAUCUAAAAACACCAGUUUAGCCUUUUAAAUGAUGGCCAUUCAAUCACGAUGAGAAAUAUGUGCGUUCAAUCAAAACAAAGUCCAAAAAUAAAUUUGCAUCCUUUUAGAUCACACCUUUUGCAUAAAUUACAGGAUAUACUACUACUACUACAAACAUAUUCAUAAUAUAUGUUAUGUUAUGUUUUUGUAGUUGUAAUGAUAACUUGGUUAUUAAUGUGUUUUAAAAAACAGUAAUAAUACAAUAAUUAAAAUGACUUCUAUCUGUAUUCUGUAUUGUAAUUGGCCAAAAGCAAUGUCAAUUGGUCUCUUUUUAAAUUUUGUAUUUCAAUGUUUCUAAUCCAUGUUUCUAAUCCACUGAGAUCAUAAAACAUAAUUACCCUGGAAACUAAUUUGACCUGGAUGGGUUCAACAUUGGAGCCACGGUCAUGUUCUCCAAGAAUGACACGAUGAGAGCUGACCCUAAAAAGUGAAAGAUAAAGACAAAACUAAUUGUAAAAGGACAGAUAGAGAGCUCAAAGAGCACAUUGUAACCACUUCUGAAUGUGAUGUUUGCCAGACUGAAGACUCUUACACGACAGCGCAGUGGGCAGCAGUGAGAACCCAGUUCUGGUUGAUCAGGGAUCCUCCACAGAAAUGGAAACCAUUGGAAAGCUGUUUCAAAGGUAAAAGCACUAAAAACGUGAAACUUACUCUUUAAGCAAAGCAGACAAAUGUGUGUUUGAAAAACAGAUGAGUUACCUGAAGAGAGACCU
rnacentral:lncRNA from 1 species